ensembl:snRNA U6 U6 spliceosomal RNA
AUGCUCAUUUUGAUAGUACAAAUACUAAAAUUAGAAAAGUACAGAGAAGCUUAGAAUGGCCCCUGUGUAAGGAUGACUACUCAAAUUUGUGAAGUGGUUCUGUAUUUU